UACGGGAGGCAGCAGUGAGGAAUAUUGGGCAAUGCCCGAAAGGGUGACCCAGCAACGCCGCGUGGAGGAUGAAGGUCGUAAGAUUGUAAACUCCUGUUAGAGGGGACGAAUAACCUCGAUAGAAUCGAGGCUUGACUGUACCCUCAGAGAAAGCCCCGGCUAACUACGUGCCAGCAGCCGCGGUAAUACGUAGGGGGCAAGCGUUGUCCGGAUUCACUGGGUGUAAAGGGCGCGUAGGCGGGUUAGCAAGUCAGAGGUGAAAUCCUACAGCUUAACUGUAGAACUGCCUUUGAAACUGUUAAUCUUGAGUGCGGAAGAGAGAGACGGAAUUCCAGGUGUAGCGGUGAAAUGCGUAGAUAUCUGGAAGAACACCAGUUGCGAAGGCGGUCUCUUGGUCCGUUACUGACGCUCAGGCGCGAAAGCGUGGGGAGCAAACAGG
rnacentral:rRNA from 1 species